CUCUCCCUAUUGACUGAAAGUUGAACCUGGAACUUCUCUAAGCAGAACAGCUUCAGUUGGAGAAUGGGAAGCAUAUCUCAGAACAAAAGGAAAUCUUAUGAUUGGAUACUGUCUUAGCACACAGCUGUCCACGCUAUGAACUGAGGCACAAAAUACCUGGCAAAGCACCUACACUCCUGAGGAUGUGUAUUCAUGAAGUGAUGCAUCCCAACCAACAUUGCUCUCAGACAACAGAAAAUGGAGACCUGAGGAACUGAGACUGUUAACGAGAUAAUGAGCUGUUUAUCAGUAGGCAUCCACUCAGGGAAGUCUGCUUCUGGAGAAACACUUGGCAAAGGCAUCCUGGAAUUAUCCAUUUUACUAUGCAGAUGUGUUUCUAGAUGUCAGUGAAUACUUCAAGCAUUCAGGACUCUCAGAUUAGCUAUUGCAUAUUUUUCUUACAGGGUGUCAGAUUGCUAGAUUUCUGUAUUUCUUAUAACUAUUCAAUAAUGAGGAAAAUUAUUGCAUUGAAGUGUCAAAUACUUGUUCUACCAUCUUCCAUUCUUGUGUAAUUAUUUCAGCAUCAACUAUGACACUAUGACUUUGUCUUCCAGAUACAAAGACUCAAUAAGAAGUGUAAAGCAAAUUAACCUGGCUAAUCCUGGUUUUCCAUCCAAAAGAGGCUUAACCAAUGUUUCUUUCAGAUCUGGAUCUGAACUGAUGAAUUCAACAUAGGCCCAUCUCUUAUAAAAUAGUUGAUCUUCUAAUUAAAUAAAUGCUUUUCAGCUUUCAUUUAAGAAAAUAUCUGUUCAAAAAUGACCUCUGACUUUGUCUAAACAUGUUUGUAGAACAAAGACCUCUUAAAAUAUCAUGGAAUGGAAAGUCAUUUCUUCAAAAAUGCCACCUUUAUUUUUAAAGUAUUUAUAAAUUCCAGUUAUCAGAAGAUAUAAUUGAGUAUUGAUAUUUCUUAUAGUUCUUAUCUGUGUUCUCCGAUGUCCUAUGGAAAUGCCAUGCAGAAAAAAACCAGAGAAAUAAGUCUAUAGAAAAUGAAUUAUCUUCUUAGAAACUAAUCUUAAAGCUGAUAGACUUCAGUAAAGAAUUUGAACUCUUCUGUCUUUUUUCUAAUCAUUUGGAAUAUUUUAUCACAAAUCCUGAUGCAUUUUUAAUUUCAUGGUGUACGCAAGCCAUAAAAAGAUGAAUUGUAGCUUUAAGUAAAUUCUGUCAAACAUUUUAUAAGGGUUUGUUAAUCCAGCUCAGACUUGCUGCCAAUAGGAAGCACUUUAUUGAAGACAGAAUUCAUGUGAAGUUAAGACUAACUUUGUGUUUAGCAUUCAAAGCCAUUUAUGGGAAUUUUUGAAUUAUUGACAUUUUUAAACUUUUAGAUGUUGUGGAUACAACAAUGAAAGCACUGACUUACUUUUCAACUUUCUGAGGUACAUUUUAAUAAAAAAGAAAGUGAAAACAUUGCCUAACUUUGAACAUAAAAGAAAUCUCAGUCUCAUUAAGUCUACAGUAAUGCUUUCCUUAACUUCAAAGGAAACCAUGAUUUCAUCCAACAUAUCUAACAGUUCCAUAAAACACAAUGAAAAUCACUUUACAAUAUUGGCAGACAGACUAUGCAUUUUGUAGGCAUCUCAGUGAAAAAAGGCACAAAUGUUCUGACUUAUUUACUAAUGCAUGAAAGCUAAAAAUUAAAAUAGUGGAAGAAGAGACUGUGUUAUAACUCUCUGGGUGUAUUAAGUGUGCACUACUUUCAUUUAAAAUGAGACUUAAAAUCUACUCUGUGAAAUUACUUUUUAUUUUAAUACAAUUCCGUUAUUUUGAGCACUCCUCUCUUUACUGGCUAUGCUGUACAGGCCGUGAUUUCCCCUAAAGGAAGGAAAAUGUUUAAGGUGUAUGGGUGAAAGAUGCACACCAGCAAAAAGCAUCCUGCUAAUCUCAAAGCUGGAAACAUAGAAGUACAGAUAUUCUGCAAGAGCAAUAAAUAGAGUCACCUAAGGUUAAGUGAGUUAAUGUGUAUUCUGUUAGAUGCUUUCCCAUGGUAAUGAUAAAGUAAGUCUAAAGCCACACCUUGAAAGCAAGCUGCAGGAAAAUGGAAUAAACUGGGCAGAUACGUUUUAGUAAAAUUUAAUCUUGGUAAGUCUACAACAAUCUUCAAGUACUCUAAAAUGUAACUGGAAAUGGAAGAAAGGAUAUAGGACCAAUAAUUUCAAAGCUAAAGACGAAGCUUAUCAAAUUUUCUCUUAUAUAAGAAAAAGUGAAGAAAACUCACAAGAAAGCUAAUAUUUUCCAUCGCUGGCUCGAUGGUAUCACACUUUGUUCAUUGUAAAGAAUAGAUUUCUAAUAAUAGAGGAAUAGUUUGAGAGGUUUAAUUGAAUUCCUAGUGUUGCUGACCUUCUGGCACAAAAUUUUUGAGCUCUACUCAAGUAUCUGAAUAUCUUAAUUGUGUAUAUAAACAACUUCCUCUUCAUACAAAAAGGUUCUCAAACCUCUGAUGAAUUAUAGUAAUCUUUAUCUGAUAAUAUUUUCUGCUUUGAAAAUGACUAGGUCCUUGGAUAUAACUCUAUUUCAGUUGAGUCCUUAUAUUUGUAAUUAUUUCCAAUUGUUUUCCUUCUUGCAAAGAGAUCUUAACACAUCUACAUUUCUACUGUAAUACCGGAAGAGUCAUCUGCUUAGGAAAGGCUUUUUUAUUCUCUGCUCAUAGUGUUAUGUCCAAUAACAGGUUCUUAGUAAGAGGGGUUUGGAAUGAUGAUAUGAUGUCUCAUCCUGCAGAAUCUUACCAAGACUUUUUUUUUUUUUAAGUGUUGUGAUCAGAGAUUCUGUGACCAUGCCUUUGUCAGCUGAGUGCUAACCAAUGUGUUUUUGCUGCAUUCUCACUAGCAUGUUCAAACAUACUUUCCUCAUUGUGCCUCAUCAUUUAUGUACAGCCUAUAUUUCCAUGCCUAAUCUCUCUAUCUAGAUCUAGUUAAUUUGUAACUGGGAGUAAUUCUCAGAAAUUGGUUCUCGGUUGUUAUCACAGCCUGAGACAGUCUGUCUGCUUACAUGAGCACUGCUAGUCCAUUUCAGCAGAGAGCCAAACAGACCAUUGUUGAAUUACUUCGAGUGGUUUGAAUUAACAUGCUUCUCUUCACAUGGGAGAGGAUAAGAAGCACUGAGAUUCAGUUCUCACAUCAUCACAGAUUGCAAAAGUUGAGAGCGCAGUCCACGUUCUUCCUUCUGUUGUGCUGCUUCUCCCUCACUCAUCUCAACCUGUACUAUUCCUUACUGUUUGCUCAGGUAAUUCCCAGGGAGCAUUUCUAGGACAGAUUGAACAUCACUGCAAUUAAAUGCGUAGAUAUAGCUCUUUUAAGGCUUUUUGAUACUGUGAAGUAAGAGUACUAUACAUAUGUGCGUGUGUGUGUAUAUGUGUAAGCACUCUAUUUCUAUCCUAGUGGUAUUAAAAACAAUAAGUCUCCAAAAAUAGAGCAUAAGGAGGCCUUCAUAAAACAGACCUCAAAAUUAAAGAUGAAUUCCAUUUUUCACUUGA